rnacentral:rRNA from 1 species
UUCCGUAGGGUGAACCUGCGGAGGGAUCAUUACACAAAUAUGAAGGCGGGCUGGAACCUCUCGGGGUUACAGCCUUGCUGAAUUAUUCACCCUUGUCUUUUGCGUACUUCUUGUUUCCUUGGUGGGUUCGCCCACCACUAGGACAAACAUAAACCUUUUGUAAUUGCAAUCAGCGUCAGUAACAAAUUAAUAAUUACAACUUUCAACAACGGAUCUCUUGGUUCUGGCAUCGAUGAAGAACGCAGCGAAAUGCGAUAAGUAGUGUGAAUUGCAGAAUUCAGUGAAUCAUCGAAUCUUUGAACGCACAUUGCGCCCUUUGGUAUUCCAAAGGGCAUGCCUGUUCGAGCGUCAUUUGUACCCUCAAGCUUUGCUUGGUGUUGGGCGUCUUGUCUCUAGCUUUGCUGGAGACUCGCCUUAAAGUAAUUGGCAGCCGGCCUACUGGUUUCGGAGCGCAGCACAAGUCGCACUCUCUAUCAGCAAAGGUCUAGCAUCCAUUAAGCCUUUUUUUCAACUUUUGACCUCGGAUCAGG